rnacentral:rRNA from 1 species
AACAAACGCUGGCGGCGUGUCUUAAGCAUGCAAGUUGAGCGGCAAGGAGGAGAGAUCCUCCCUAGAGCAGCGGACUGGUGAGUAACGCGUGGGUAAUCUAUCUUAGGCAUGGGGAUAGUCACUAGAAAUAGUGGGUAAUACCGAAUAAGUUCCAUAAGGGGAGGACUUAUGGAAGAAAGGUGCUACGGCACUGGCCUUAGGUGAGCUCGCGUCCCAUUAGCUAGUUGGUGAGGUAAAGGCCCACCAAGGCGAUGAUGGGUAGCCGGCCUGAGAGGGUGUACGGCCACACUGGGACUGAGAUACGGCCCAGACUCCUACGGGAGGCAGCAGCUAAGAAUAUUCCGCAAUGGACGGAAGUCUGACGGAGCGACGCCGCGUGGAUGAAGAAGGCCGAAAGGUUGUAAAGUUCUUUGCUAGGGGAGAAUAAGUGUGGGAGGGAAUGCCUGCACGAUGACAAGGACUAGCGAAUAAGUCCCGGCAACUACGUGCCAGCAGACCCGG